GCCUGGCCCAGAUCACCUUCUCGCGCUCGUGGGUGCCGCAGGGGAAGCGCUCGGGGGUCGCGGGGGCCCUGAUGCCCCUUAGGGCUCCCUCUGACCUGGGGGAGAGCUACUACGACGCCUGUGUAGAUGUCCUCACGCAGAUCGAUGCUAAGAUUAAUGACUUAAUCAGGGGUGCUCAUGAAAUCAACACUGCAGAUUUUCGUCUGAGAAAGUUCAACGGUUUAAAACAAGGAAGAAAUGUCUAGGAUGGAGAAGGCUACACGAGAUUUUAAAAGAAAACUUAUUUAUAAAUGAAGAUAAAGCUUCGGAACAGAAGCAAACAAAUUGUGAGAGAAAUAGUGUCCUAAAUAAAAUGGUAUUAUUCCCUC